UACGUAGGGCGCGAGCGUUGUCCGGAAUUAUUGGGCGUAAAGAGCUCGUAGGCGGCUGGUUGCGUCUGCUGUGAAAUCCCGGGGCUUAACCCCGGGCGUGCAGUGGAUACGGGCCGGCUGGAGGCAGGCAGGGGAGAAUGGAAUUCCCGGUGUAGCGGUGAAAUGCGCAGAUAUCGGGAGGAACACCGGUGGCGAAGGCGGGUCUCUGGGCCUGGCCUGACGCUGAGGCGCGAAAGCGUGGGGAGCAAUCCGG
rnacentral:rRNA from 1 species